rnacentral:rRNA from 1 species
AGUAACGGCGAGUGAAGCGGUAACAGCUCAAAUUUGAAAUCUGGCUCCUGCGGAGUCCGAGUUGUAAUUUGUAGAAGAUGCUUUGGGAGGGAGGCUCGGCCUAAGUUCCUUGGAACAGGACAUCAGAGAGGGUGAGAAUCCCGUAUGUGGCCGUGGUCUCCGCCCGUGUAAAGCUCUUUCGACGAGUCGAGUUGUUUGGGAAUGCAGCUCAAAAUGGGUGGUAAAUUUCAUCUAAAGCUAAAUAUUGGCCAGAGACCGAUAGCGCACAAGUAGAGUGAUCGAAAGAUGAAAAGCACUUUGGAAAGAGAGUUAAACAGUACGUGAAAUUGUUGAAAGGGAAGCGCUUGCACCCAGACUUGGGCGUCGUCGAUCAUCCGAGGUUCUCCUCGGUGCACUCGGCGAGGCACAGGCCAGCAUCGGUUUGGAUGGUUGGAGAAAGGCUCUAGGAACGUAGCUCUCUUCGGGGAGUGUUAUAGCCUAGGGCGUAAUGCAGCCCAUCUGGACCGAGGACCGCGCCUUUGGGCUAGGAUGCUGGCGUAAUGGUUGCAAGCGACCCGUCUUGAAACACGGACCAAGGAGUCUAACAUCUAUGCGAGUGUUUGGGCGUUAAACCCAUACGCGGAAUGAAAGUGAACGUAGGUGAGAACCGUCUGGGUGCAUCAUCGACGAUCCUGAUGUCUUCGGAUGGAUUUGAGUACGAACAUACUGUUGGGA